UUUUGCCAAAGAGUUGGCU
rnacentral:snRNA from 1 species